CAAUCAUCUUCCUCAACCAAGUCUGUAUAACGUUUUUGCAUUCCUUUAUUAUAAAAAAAACAUACCUUACGAGGAUUGCGCUUCAUUUUGAAGUUCUUAUGGCACUUGCUGCGACAGAAACGAAAGACCUUGGAGUCAUUUCUAACAAACAUUAUUCCAUGUCCUGGGUAAACAGGACCCGAGCAGAAAUAGCAAGUAUGUACCCUAAAUUUCCGUUAGUAAUAAAUACUUUGAAGGCAUUUAGCUCUACAAACCUCAUAUUCCCCCUAAAUUCUUUCCCG